UCCACACAAACUAAUUAAGCACUGCAAAUAUGGGUGGCAAAGUUGCUCUCCUGGUGGUCCUUGUGGCCAUGAGCGUCGUCCUCCUGGAGACCCAGGCGAAGACAAAGCCGAAGGCGGAGGAGAAGCCACCCAAAACCAAGGAGCACAGGCUGCCGAGCCACCCCGACAAGCCACCGCCUAACCGUAACUCACACACCAAGACGAACACUCCCAGGACGCCCCUCUACGCGCCGCCCCCACCACUUCCCCACACCUCCCCUACUCCCGAACCUACGCCUCCGACAUACAGCCCCAUCGCUAAGACGACCAUGCGGGCGGAUCGAUGGCGUCAUCGAAGUGAAGGGGAAGCGUGUGUCCGUGUAUGGGGUGGUGUACCCUGUUAGAUACAGAGUACCUCCUCCAUUUUAAAAAAGGACCAAUCCUACCUACAAACCUGGAUAUGUGUGUGUCCAGAUUUAUAGUUAGGAAUUUAGUUUUUUUUGGAUGGAGUAGUAUAAUCUUAACUUGAUUAGUUACGGCAUGUUAUGUGUGGUGCAUGCAUGUGCACAUUGAGUACGUUUUUGUUUAGCGAACUGGUAUAAGAUUGUGCUAAUUUUAUUUCAUUCAAUAAAGGAUAUAUU
rnacentral:lncRNA from 1 species